rnacentral:rRNA from 1 species
AUGAACGCUGGCGGCGUGCCUAAUACAUGCACGUCGAGCGAACGGACGAGAAGCUUGCUUCUCUGAUGUUAGCGGCGGACGGGUGAGUAACACGUGGAUAACCUACCUAUAAGACUGGGAUAACUUCGGGAAACCGGAGCUAAUACCGGAUAAUAUUUUGAACCGCAUGGUUCAAAAGUGAAAGACGGUCUUGCUGUCACUUAUAGAUGGAUCCGCGCUGCAUUAGCUAGUUGGUAAGGAAACGGCUUACCAAGGCAACGAUGCAUAGCCGACCUGAGAGGGUGAUCGGCCACACUGGAACUGAGACACGGUCCAGACUCCUACGGGAGGCAGCAGUAGGGAAUCUUCCGCAAUGGGCGAAAGCCUGACGGAGCAACGCCGCGUGAGUGAUGAAGGUCUUCGGAUCGUAAAACUCUGUUAUUAGGGAAGAACAUAUGUGUAAGUAACUGUGCACAUCUUGACGGUACCUAAUCAGAAAGCCACGGCUAACUACGUG